GACGAACGCUGGCGGCGUGCUUAACACAUGCAAGUCGAACGGAAAGGCCCUACUUGCAGGGUACUCGAGUGGCGAACGGGUGAGUAACACGUGGGUGAUCUGCCCUGCACUUCGGGAUAAGCCUGGGAAACUGGGUCUAAUACCGGAUAGGAGCCAUUUUUAGUGUGAUGGUUGGAAAGUUUUUUCGGUGUAGGAUGAGCUCGCGGCCUAUCAGCUUGUUGGUGGGGUAAUGGCCUACCAAGGCGGCGACGGGUAGCCGGCCUGAGAGGGUGGACGGCCACAUUGGGACUGAGAGACGGCCCAGACUCCGACGGGAGGCAGCAGUGGGGAAGAUUGCACAAUGGGCGCAAGCCUGAUGCAGCGACGCCGCGUGGGGGAUGACGGCCUUCGGGUUGUAAACUCCUUUCGCUAGGGACGAAGCUUUUUGUGACGGUACCUAGAUAAGAAGCACCGGCUAACUACGUG
rnacentral:rRNA from 1 species